GGAGGGGUGCGAGAGCGGCCGAAUCNNAUCGGCACGCUUGGAAAGCGUGUGAGGGGCAACCCUCCGUGGGUUCGAAUCCCACCCCCUCCGCCA
rnacentral:tRNA from 1 species